rnacentral:rRNA from 1 species
UACAGAGGCCUCGAGCGUUAGGCGGAAUCACUGGGCUUAAAGCGUGUGUAGGCGGAUUGGUAAGUACCUUGUGAAAUCCCACAGCUUAACUGUGGAACUGCUCGGUAUACUGCUGAUCUUGAGCCACUCAGGGGCUACCGGAGCAAAUGGUGGAGCGGUGAAAUGCGUAGAUAUCAUUUGGAACGCCAAUGGUGAAAACAGGUAGCUGGGGGUGUGCUGACGCUGAGACACGAAAGACCAGGGGAGCAAACGGG